UUGUGUGUGUAUUUCUCUGAGAGACUGAGAACGACCGAGUUCAUCUGGGUUGAGUGAGCCUGUCUGAAUGAAAUUUGUCGAGCCUGAGUGCCGAGCGAGAGGCUGCAAGCAAAAAAUACAUUUCGCGAGUGAGUCUGAGUGAAUUUCGUUUACUUUGCGGACCUACGGUCACAUGUCGAACCAGUGACUCAGUUGUACAUUCUUGCACAUUUCUGUCUGGAGCACUGAAUCGGUGCUCUGCGAUAAAAAAAAAAGAAAGAAAUAUCUAUAUCAUUGCGUUGCUGGCCGGCUUGAGAGACAAUGCUCGGGAACAGUGGCUGCCACGGUAUUCAGCCAGGCGCAUUCAACCUAACAGCUGUUGUGUCAAUCACUCUUUCUUUGCUCUUCGGCGCAGCGCUCGAGCUCCCUAGACAGCAGCAGUGUGGACGACCGCACAAACAGCCAAGCCCUGCAUCACUCUGCAUGACACUCACGACACCGGCAUGCUGCUUACCGCGACCUGUUCGAGGCUAUACCUCUGGACCGAGCCACAUCCCACACGGCUGGAGAACCGUCGCAGCGUGUCCAGCUCGCAACGUCUCGAUGGACUUUCUCCGGUGGCCUCGCAGGAGUAGGGACUCAUUCGGCCCUACCUGUUCCCUAGCGGCUCACUCCGUUCCAGCCUGCCUGGCAGGAAGACGGACGUGUCUAUCGCCUAGCAAGGACACUGAGGUGUGCGGCAACGGCAUCUAGGUCACGUGUUCGACUCGCGGUCGGAACUGCGAGACACGGGGCGCCCCAGAUGAAUUGGGCAAGUUUACUUAAUGGUAACGUGAGGUGGUAUCUACUUCAACAUUGUGUUUUGAAAUCUAUUACUGAUUAUGUACACGCGUAGCCCUAGAUAACGUUACAGAUAAAGGCGCCUCAUAUUCGUAUUACAGAAAGUUUGUGGGGUUCUUACGUGCCAAAAACUUUUAUUUUACCUGCUGAUUAAAUUUUGCAUGCCUUUAUGUGUGUAUAUGUACAUAUAUAUGUUGUAGGUGUGUAUGACAUGUGCAAGGCCGAAAAUGAAGUGCCUCCUAUUAUGUGCCGAUGUUUAUUUCGAAUAAAGACAAGCUCUGUGUUA